AUGUUUCAGUGGUGUCCUGGAGCUUUAUCUUUAGAUCUUCUUUUUCCCUUUCCUGCUCUACUUCAUUGUCAUGCAAAAGGUUCAUUUAUAAAUUUGGGCAUCCAUUUGCGCAGAGAAUCCAAGUCGUGGGUGGUGAAAGACUUAUGGAUCUUUGCAUGUAAACUGCCAGCAUUGUCUGUCUUUCUGGUUGGAUAGACUUGACCUCAGUGCAGGUCAGAGGCCAGUCUUCCAGAUGCCAGGAGUCAUGGGGACAAGCAGCAAGCCUCUUCUAGGUCAUCAGUGAGUCAUGAGACUUCCCAUAGUAUGCAUGCGUGCCCAGACAAAGGAUAGGGCUGGUACCAACUAAAAUGGAUUUUCAAAAAGAAUAAGGGAUACAAUUUAUAUUAAAUUUAUACACCCCCCCUUAUUCUUUGGAAGAUUAACAUGCCAGUCUGCCCAGUGAAUCAUCCCAUACAUAAUAUCUAUUCAGUUCAGGAUUGUUUCAUAAAGGUACAUAAGUAACAAAAGAUUAUACAUUCCAAAGGUAUUAUACAUCUCCACAGUCUCACUCAGAGACUCAUGAGGUAAUAUUUGAUUUCUGGGAACAUCCUCCAUUGCUGUCCUCUUUUUAGUCCAUCAGGAAUCAUGAUGGUUCUUACAGCCUCUUCUCUAGGAUAUCUGUUUUCCUGGUCCAGGUAAUUGGUUAUAUCUUUCCUUAAAAUUACUUUAAAAGAUCUUAAUUGAUGGACCUUUAAGAUAACUUCAAUCUUCAUCCCCCCCCCCCCCCCCCCGGAGGAUGAGAUACUGCCCAGGAUCUAACACUAACAUAACCUAAUGGUAACACAAAAUAAUGUUCCAAUACAGUGAAUAUUUAUUUACAACAAUAGAUUUGGUAAAGGGUAUGUGACUAGGCUAUAAGGUUAUUGAUUUAAGAAUGCAUUAAAUAAUAUACAAAAUGUAGCUCCCAAAAACAUAAGGAGAGAAAAUAUACACAUGCCCAGAUAUAAGAUCAGAAGAGGGAACAAAAGAGGAAGGUGUAAUAUGGAUUAAUGCUGAAAAAAAAAAUCAAAUGAGAGUAGCAUUUUUUAAACAAUUAUGAUCUGAAAAGGAUGCAUUUAUUAUUUCUGCUUUUUUGAAUUUGAAUAUGAAGUUUUUAUGCACUAGUACAUGGUGAAUCUUUGUGUAGGUGCCUUUUUUUUUUCCUAAAAAGAAGGUA
rnacentral:lncRNA from 1 species